rnacentral:lncRNA from 1 species
GGGAGAUUUGAAAAGCGUGCGCGCCUCGCGCCGCUGCGGCGAGCCCCGCCGCCCCCUUUCUUCCCUCCCUCCCCCCCGGCCGCGGCCCGGGCCCGGAGCGGGGAGCGGCCGAGCCCCCCGGGCGGCGCGGCGCGGCACAAUGGCAGCGGCCGCGGUGGUUGCGGGCGGGGGCCGUGCCCCGGCGGCCCGAGGCCCGGCCGGGAAAGUUUGUGGCGUGCCCGGCGCGGCGCGGGGGGGAGCUGGCGGCGCCAGAACAAAGCGGCACAUGGGGCAGAGGCCGCGGCGGCUCGGGGGCUCCGUUCGCCGCCCACGCCCAGCUCGGGAACGGCAGCGGCGGUAACGCGGGAGGUGGAGGCGGCGGGGAGGGGCCGGGGGGGGCUUCUCGGGGAGUUCCCGGCGGAGGCGCUUUGUGCUCCGCCGCCCCCCGGGGGAGGGGGCGCGGGGCCCCGGGGAGGGGGGCAGCGCCGCGGGCUGCGAGCGCGUCCCGGGCCCCUCCGCGUGGGCUUUUGUUCGCAGAGGGGCGGGGGCGGCGGGCCCUCCUCUUCCUCCCCUCCUCCGGGCCGCGCUCCUCGGCGGCGUGGGAGAGCGGGCGGUGGGGCGCGGGCUCCCGCCUCCCCCGGGCGGGCGAGAGAGGGGCCGCGGGAGGGCCCCGCGCUGCCCGGGAGCCGCGGGCUUCGUUACGAAAUCGGCGCGGCGGCAGCUGCGGGGCCUCGGCGGCGCCAUGUUGCUGGGGAGGGGGAGGAGGCGGGGGACAUGGCGGCGGCUGCGUGCUGGGGCCGAUUGUUCCCUGUUAGGCCCGGAGCCGCGUGUGGGCAGCGGCGGCCCGGGGAGCCGCUUCCCCUCCCCCUGCCGCGGCCCCUUCCCAUCCGGGCGGCCCUCGGGAGCGGGCGGGCCCGGCCCCUUCCCCUCCGCUUGGGCCGCGGGGCUCGGCGGGCCCGGUCUGGCGGUGGGGGGCGGGGGGCGGCACGCCGUAGCCGGGCUGUGACCUCCGCGGCGCUGCUGGCGGCGCCCCCUGGCGGACGCGCGGGGCGCGGCCGCCUGUGUUCUCGCAGGAACACGUGCUGCGCCGUGAGGGGCGCGGGCCCGGCCGGGAAGGGGCCUGCGGCACAUGGCCCGCGGCCGCGGCCUCCCCGCGCCUCCCGUGGGCCGCGCUAG